rnacentral:lncRNA from 1 species
AAGAAAGUGAAGUAUGGAGUUAGUUGGUUGGUGAUAGUUGGCAGAUCUAAAUGAACGCCAAGUGCUUGGUGCCUUGCUAUCUCCGCCUUGUUUUCUCCGCAAUUAUGGGAGACACCGACAAGAAACCUCCCAAAUAAACUCAAAAACAACACAAAAACCAGGUGGACAGUAGAGCAUUUCGAUCUUACCAAAGCUCACCCCACCUUUUUAAAACCAGCUGGAACAACAAUGACUGGCAAUGACUGCCCCGACUGUGAAAUUGCCA